UGCCAGACUCCUACGGGAGGCAGCAGUGGGGAAUAUUGCACAAUGGGGGAAACCCUGAUGCAGCGACGCCGCGUGAGUGAAGAAGUAAUUCGUUAUGUAAAGCUCUAUCAGCAGGGAAGAAAAUGACGGUACCUGAGUAAGAAGCCCCGGCUAACUACGUGCCAGCAGCCGCGGUAAUACGUAGGGGGCAAGCGUUAUCCGGAUUUACUGGGUGUAAAGGGAGCGUAGACGGCAGUGCAAGUCUGGAGUGAAAGGCGGGGGCUCAACCCCCGGACUGCUCUGGAAACUGUACGGCUGGAGUGCAGGAGAGGUAAGUGGAAUUCCUAGUGUAGCGGUGAAAUGCGUAGAUAUUAGGAGGAACACCAGUGGCGAAGGCGGAUUACUGGACGAUAACUGACGGUGAGGCGCGAAAGCGUGGGGAGCAAACAGGAUUAGAUACCCCUGUA
rnacentral:rRNA from 1 species